rnacentral:rRNA from 1 species
CCUACGGGAGGCAGCAGUGAGGAAUAUUGGUCAAUGGGCGCGAGCCUGAACCAGCCAAGUCGCGUGAGGGAAGACAGUCCUAUGGAUUGUAAACCUCUGUUGUCUGGGAGCAAAAGACGCCACGCGUGGCGUUCCGAGAGUACCCGAAGAAAAAGCAUCGGCUAACUCCGGGCCAGCAGCCGCGGUAAUACGGAGGAUGAGAGCGUUAUCCGGAGGUAUUGGGUUGAAAAGGUGAGCAGGUGGAAGAUAAAGUCAGCGGUAAAAUGGCGAGGCUAAACCUCUUCGAGCAGUUGAAACUGGUUUUCUUGAGUGAGUGAGAAGGAUGCGGAAUGCGUGGUGUAGCGGUGAAAUGCAUAGAUAUCACGCAGAACUCUGAUUGCGAAGGCAGCAUACCGGCGCUCAACUGACGCUCAUGCACGAAAGUGUGGGUAUCGAACAGGAUUAGAUACCCCAGUAGUC